GGGAAAUUUUUUUAGUAGCUUCUUCUUUUGACUAAAGGAGGAGAUCCUAUGAAUCGAAAAAUAAAAUAAAAAAAACGCAGAGAGCGAGAGAAAGAAAGAGUCAGAAGAAAUGCGACCGCCGCCACCGAACGAAGACAACCGGGGCCGGAGCUCUGUCACCUCUUCCUCCCACCUUACAGCAAGAGAACGUUUGUUGUGAGCAUAAGAUGUAGAAUCUGUGGAUAGUAGAACUAGAGAAAUCAUUGUUGUGAUGUUGCUGAUGAAGAGAAGUGAGCCGUGGAUGAGUUGCUAAAGUGUACCAGAACUCGCAUACUAACUUGAUGGGAAAGAGAGAGGACAUGGGCAGUAAAGAAAUGAUAUGGAGGGAGAGAUCAAGUGGGAGAUCUUCCAUUGCAGUGGUCUUGUGGUGUUCAUCUUUUAUGGGUUUGUCUUGUUUUUUCUUGCUAGAUUUGAUUCUUCUACUGCGCAAGCCCAUAGGGAGCAACCGAGAUGUUUCUCAAUGGUGGUGAAGAAAGAAAAAAUAGAUGAAUUCAACAAGCAAAGCAGCAGUGCCGUUCAGAAAAAAGUUGAGCCGCCGUAUCAAAGUGAAUAAUAAAACUCCAAUAUUAUAACUCUCAAAUAGGAGAAAUUAUUUUGUUGUGUUUGAUAUGGUCAUGUGGUGUUCAAGUUUGUUUGAUUAGCGAAGGAGGUGAGAUUUAUGAUUGUGAAUUGACUUGGUGUGUUGUGAGGUGGUACUCCAUAUUUGUAUUGGAUCGUGAAAAAUAGUAGGAACAUUUUAUUUGGGGAAUGCUUGCGAACAUUGCUAGGUGACGCCGCAGACUAUCAAAUGAUUUUUUUUUUCUUUUUUAAA